AUAGGGAAGACGUGGGUCCUUCUCCCCAAACCUGCUAAGAAUAUGCAGACCUCUGAGGGAGGGCAGCUGUCCCCAGCCAAGCAGGGUGGCCUAUCUCUAUCAUCUCAGUACGUGAGAGAGACUAGCCUGGGCUACCUGAAGCUCUGUCUCAAAAAACAAAAACCAACUGACAAACUAGUAAACAUAAACCCCUGCUGUUUCUGGCUGCAGCUUUGUCCAAGAGACAGGUCCGCCUCAGUCUGAAGCCAGCAGCGUGGCAGACACCUGGGGAACAGUACCCACUUACAUUAAGAAGCCUCUUAAACGUUCUCUGGACCUAUUUUCUGGCUGUAGAAUGAAGAGGCUAGAUUAUAUGAUCUCCAAGUUGUCGUCGUCGUCGUUUUUGCUCCGUUGUGUGGGGCUAUGGAACUCAGAUGGUGCCCACCCAGUUCUCCUCCCGAGCCCACCUGCUGGUGGUGCCAUCCGUGGGAAUGAGUGCCACUGUGGAGACCCCUGUUUUAGAAGCUCCAUAUUUCCCAAGCUUGUUCACAGGCUGGGCUGUGAUUCUCCAGGAGAGCUUUCCACUCCGUUCAUUCCUCAGAGAUCCGAGUCUCUCCAGAGAGAUUGGUGGCAGGGUGGGGGUGGGGCAAUGACACCAGGAUGUGCCUUUCUGAACACUCUUCCCAAGGUCUACAGAUGAGCAAGGGAGGGUCAGAAGGUGCCCUGGGGACUCACCUGCUUAUUGGAUCCUGGAACUCCUUGCCAGGCCCCCAACUGUGUCUUUUGAAGGAGUCAGUAGUGUAACUGCGGGCACGGAAAGCCCCGGACCUUCUAAGGAGUGAUGUGUGGAAGCCAUCCUUGUUGUCUUCCUGGUUUUCCUCCCUCCCCUCCACUUCCUCCAGCUGUUCUCUGGAUUCCACAGCAGCUGGGCAGCACUGAGGGAGACCAUGAGGCACUGGGUCUUCACCUAUGAAGGGCUCCCCUGGGACCGAUCUGUUCAUGGAAGGUACUCGGAGACAGCCCUGAAUCAAGAAGAAAGAGAGGACAGUAGAAUUCCCAAAAUGCAAAAAGAAGAGGCUGGAGGGCUAGAAGAUGGCUCAGCGGUUAAGAACACUGACUGCUCUUCCAAAGGUCCUGAGUUCAAAUCCCAGCAACCACAUGGUGGCUCACAACCAUCUGUAACAAGAUCUGACACCCUCUUCUGGAGUGUCUAAAGACAGCUACAAG
rnacentral:lncRNA from 1 species